UACUGGUGCCAGCAGCCACGGUAAGUUCCAGCUCCAAUAGCGUAUAUUAAGUUGUUGCAGUUAAAAGCUCGUAGUUGAAUUUCGGGGUCAGUAGGUUGGUCGUGCCACCGGUACGUACUGGUCUCACUGAUUCCUCCUUCCUGAUGAACCGUAAUGCCAUUAAUUUGGUGUUGCGGGAGACUGGACUGUUACUUGAAAAAUUAGAGUGUUUAAAGCAGGCUAACGCUUGAAUACAUUAGCAUGGAAUAAUGAAAUAGGACGUUCGAUCUUAUUUUGUUAGGUUUCUAAGAUUGACGUAAUGAUUAAUAGGGAUAGUUGGGGGCAUUAGUAUUCAAUUGUCAGAGGUGAAAUUCUUGGAUUUAUUGAAGACUAACUACUGCGAAAGCAUUUGCCAAGGAUGUUUUCAUUAAUCAAGAACGAAAGUUAGGGGGAUCGAAGACGAUCAGAUACCGUCGUAGUCUUAACCAUAAACUAUGCCGACUAGGGAUCGGAUGAUGUUAAUUUUUUUAAUGACUCAUUCGGCGCCUUACG
rnacentral:rRNA from 1 species